UACGAAGGGGGCUAGCGUUGCUCGGAAUCACUGGGCGUAAAGGGUGCGUAGGCGGGUCUUUAAGUCAGGGGUGAAAUCCUGGAGCUCAACUCCAGAACUGCCUUUGAUACUGAAGAUCUUGAGUUCGGGAGAGGUGAGUGGAACUGCGAGUGUAGAGGUGAAAUUCGUAGAUAUUCGCAAGAACACCAGUGGCGAAGGCGGCUCACUGGGACGGUACUGACGCUGAGACGCGAAAGCGUGGGGAGCGAACGAGG
rnacentral:rRNA from 1 species